AUACAUGCAAGUCGAACGCACGAAGUUGAAGAGCUUGCUCUUUAACCAAGUGAGUGGCGGACGGGUGAGUAACACGUGGGUAACCUGCCCAUUAGAGGGGGAUAACAUUCGGAAACGGAUGCUAAUACCGCAUAGUUUCAGGAAUCGCAUGAUUCUUGAAGGAAAGGUGGCUUCGGCUACCACUAAUGGAUGGACCCGCGGCGUAUUAGCUAGUUGGUGAGGUAAUGGCUCACCAAGGCAAUGAUACGUAGCCGACCUGAGAGGGUGAUCGGCCACACUGGGACUGAGACACGGCCCAGACUCCUACGGGAGGCAGCAGUAGGGAAUCUUCCGCAAUGGACGAAAGUCUGACGGAGCAACGCCGCGUGAGUGAAGAAGGUUUUCGGAUCGUAAAACUCUGUUGUUAAAGAAGAACAAGGAUGAGAGUAACUGCUCAUCCCCUGACGGUAUUUAACCAGAAAGCCACGGCUAACUACGUGCCAGCAGCCGCGGUAAUACGUAGGUGGCAAGCGUUGUCCGGAUUUAUUGGGCGUAAAGCGAGCGCAGGCGGUUCUUUAAGUCUGAUGUGAAAGCCCCCGGCUCAACCGGGGAGGGUCAUUGGAAACUGGAGAACUUGAGUGCAGAAGAGGAGAGUGGAAUUCCACGUGUAGCGGUGAAAUGCGUAGA
rnacentral:rRNA from 1 species